GAUCAACGCUGGCGGCGUGCAUAACACAUGCAAGUCGAACGAAGUGGCGAACGGGUGAGUAACCCGUGAGUAACCUGCCUUACACAAGGGGAUAGCCUUUGGAAACGAAGAAUAAUACCCUAUAGUGUAAGAUGGACUUGCGUCUGAUUAGCUAGUUGGUGAGAUAAAAGCACACCAAGGCUACGAUCAGUAGCCGGCUGGAGAGAGUGUACGGCAACAUUGGGACUGAGACACGGCCCAAACUGUAAGGGAGGCAGAAGUGGGGAAUUUUGCACAAUGGGGGAAACCCGGAUGCAGCGACGCCGCGGGAUUUAGAAGGCCUUGGGGUGGUAAAAAUCUUUUUUAUGGGCUGCAGUACCAUAAGAAUAAGGUCCGGCUAAAUACGUGCUAGCAGCCGCGGUAAUAC
rnacentral:rRNA from 1 species